UACGUAGGGGGCAAGCGUUGUCCGGAAUCAUUGGGCGUAAAGAGCGCGUAGGCGGCCCAGUAAGUCCGCUCUGAAAGUCAGGGGCUCAACCCCUGGAUGCGGGUGGAUACUGCUGGGCUAGAGUCCGGAAGAGGCGAGUGGAAUCCUGGUGUAGCGGUGGAAUGCGCAGAUAUCAAGGAGGAACACCAAUGGCGAAGGCAGAUCUCUGGGCCGUAACUGACGCUGAGGAGCGAAAGCAUGGGGAGCGAACAGG
rnacentral:rRNA from 1 species